AGACACAAAAGUUGGGUUGUUUGGUCAUGGCAUGGCAUACGUGUUUUUCUGCGUAUCACAACACGGUAGCACUUCGAGGAAGACAGUGGUGACAAACAGCCUGGUUGCAGAACCAACUGUUUGAAGUGAGAGUAAACGAAGACUUUUAACCAUUCAAGACGAGGCGCACUGAAUGAACAUCGUCAGGAUGCUGCAAGUUGCAUCGAGGUGGUAGCUCAACAUGGUCUUGACCCGGUGUUGUUGCGACACGGUUCAGCAAUAGAUCGCAACUUGGGGAAUGAUGAUGGUGUCUGCGAAGUCUGGAGGUUACGCUGAGUUUUGUGUUUUUGUUAAGUUUCUUCAGCUCGUCGGCUUCCAGGGUGGGUGUGGAGUUGGUUCUCUGUCUUGCACUUGUUUUUAAUCUGCGUGAGCAUUUUUGCGAUCCCUCGGGGCUGUUUGGAGCCCCGGUGUGGGUUGCAGUGUGUAGAAACUGCUCCUAUGAGCAUGCAGUUAGAAAAUUAGUCUUUGAUCGAAAGUAGAUGGCAGCUGCUGUGUGCACAGUGAAGAUGCACCUUUUCUGGUUUUUUUCGAGAUUUGACUUCCUUCUUUUAUGUAACCGAAAGGGAGCUGAAUUAGAUAGCUUGAGGUCUGGGCCACUGACCGGUUGGAUAUAGAUAGAAACACUAUAAUACGAGCCAUCAACUGAUAAAUUCUAAUCGUCAUCGAAACAUAGUAAAGAUACUAUUAAACUUGCGAAAUGAAUUACACUUGACUCCUAAAAAUCCGAUUAAAAUGCUCAGAUUCGUGAAGAAUUAAAUUUCGAUGGUGACAUAAGACAAGGAGUGUAGAUGAAGCAGUUGCGACAGCGACUAAACCACAGUUUUUGUCUUAGAAUAAGGCGACUGAUGGCCGUUUGAAAAUGAAGAAAACAUAAUCAGCUUUGUUCUGGUUCUUGUCAGAAUGGAGCAUCGUGUGGGUUAUGUAGGUUCUUUAAUGCAGCUUCCCCAAUGUGAAGAUUUAUAGGUGUAUACUAGCCAUAAACUUGACCCAAUUUGGACAGAAAUCUUUUGUUUUGCCAUACAUGUUCCAAAGAUCUGAUUCUUUGUGGAAAACAACCUGAUUCUUUGUGGGGGCUAAGAGUCACACAGGUUUUGAUAGACGAGUAGUAACAGUGUCUGUUUUGCAACAAUUCAUCUGUGUAUUUUGAUGCGUUUCUGGUUUAUAGGUACGAAAGUCUCAACUACCCGGUUCUUAGUUCGGAGGAACAAUUCACGGAUUGACAGUUUUCAUUUUUUUGUUCAUCUUCCUACAACCACUUCUUCAGGAACCCUUUCGGAUUGAUUGCAUGGACUACUUACCGGUUGGACUGGCAAUUAGAACGCGAUAAAUUUGUAUCAAUGUAAACCUUUGGUUUGAGUCACUUGUCACAGCGGGAUAUGGUUAGUUCCAGCACGCUAAGAAACUGGCUCGUACUUCCGAUAUGGAAGAAAGUAGUGGUUGAAUUUGGCAGAAUCAUGUGUUAAUGGACGAUAGUAUAGCGCUGGGUAGUGAUUAGCUGUCUUAUGGUUGUGGUGAGUAAAUACCCCAGUACUGAAUUACCAGAUAUGUCCUAGAUAACCUCCUUCUUGCAGCAAGUCUGCUCUUUCUUUUACACCAUUUUCUGAUAAUGAGCAUCCUUUGUUGAUGCACUCACUGGUGAGUGUUUCCAGGAUAUUUUCUCUUCCAUGUUUGUCUGAGGCUGUCCAAGGGGUCUUGUCUUCGACCUUGCGAAACUUUACCUUUGGAAUGAUCUGUGACAGGAGUGGUGAACUUUACCUUCCGUUUGACUCUUGCUUAAGUCACUGCCGGCAUAACGCCCAGGAAUUGAAAUGCAACCUGGACGGUUUAUGUGCUUUGACCCUUGUGAGAAACAUAGUUCGGGCUCUUUGCUCAUGUUCAGGUUCACGUUAAUGAUUAUUUGAAUGAAGAUGAUCACGGUCUUCCAGCAAGAUCCACUCAGCCCGGUUGGUUUCAGUACUCUACCUUCUCACAUGCUGUAGUCCAUGAUUUAGAAGAUCUGACAUUGAAGUGAUUUAGAUAUUUGUGUUGUUAAUUUUCGAACAGAGUGACUGCUGGUGAUACUGUUUCAAUACAGGUAACAUGUUUUCAUCGCUCCCAUUAUUGCUUUCCUUGGUUACACUUGUCACAGUUACUCGUGGGUCCCGCUCAUGGCUGCUCACGGCUGAUUCACUCACACUCUUGACCUCUCAUGGUGCAUAUCCACGUGAUGUAGUACAGAUUUCACUCUGUUGGUUUUUAUUUUUAUUUUUUAUCAAGACUGUAAAAUUUUGUUGCAUUAAACGCCUUGGUUGCCUGUUCUGCGGUAGAGGACUGUCUUGUGAUGCAACUGGCAGUGCACAGGGAGGACAAAAUUGUGGCUCUUGAUGACUGUGCAGGACAGUGCGAUCUUCAUCUCAACACAAUCUUAUCUGUAAUCGAAGUAGGAUCAUCAAUAUGACCUGCAAAGCUUCAGCGUUUUACAUGUCGUAACGUAAAAGAGGGUGUAUCAUGCAUAUUACAGAAAAUAUAACAAGCAUCAUGGCCUCUGCAUAUUCAGCUCUGACCCUGAUUAAUCAGCAGAGAUUAGUACAGCUCCUAUGUAUAUAGUACUCCUCUCUCCUGAAUUUGUUACAUCUCGGGGGUUGAGCCAGUUUAGGAUACGAAAGCAGUCUAACCUGAUUGUGAGUGAUAUUUACAGCACCGACUCGCGUGCUUGUACAGGACUCAAUUCAGCCAGCUAUCAUGUAGAGGUUACUAUUAUUUUAAUCGCUGGCUUUGUCCCUGUGCGUGAUCAGCGGUAUAUGCAUCACCUAAGCUGCUAUUCAAACCAGAUGUAUCUCUCUUCACAAUCUGCUUGCUAAAGUUAAUUGCCAUUUUUUUGUUUUA